AUGCUCGCUUUGGCAGCACAUAUGCUAAAAUUGGAACAAUACAGAGAACAUUAGCAUGACAGAGAACAUUAGGAUGACAUGCAAAUUCGUGAAGCAUUCCAUAUUAAA